CCUACGGGAGGCAGCAGUGGGGAAUAUUGGGCAAUGGAGGCAACUCUGACCCAGCAACGCCGCGUGAAUGAUGAAGGUCUUCGGAUUGUAAAGUUCUGUGAUGGGGGAUGAACACAAUGAAGGUACCCCAAUAGCAAGCCACGGCUAACUUCGUGCCAGCAGCCGCGGUAAUACGUAGGUGGAAAGCGUUAUCCGGAUUGACUGGGCGUAAAGGGUGCGUAGGUGGUUUAGUAAGUUGGCGGUGUAAGUCCGGGGGCCAACCUCUGCGCUACCGCCAAAACUAGUCGACUAGAGUGCAGGAGAGGUAAGUGGAAUUCCUGGUGAAGCGGUGGAAUGCGUAGAUAUAAGGAGGAACAUCAGGGGCGAAGGCGACUUACUGGACUGUAACUGACACUGAGGCACGAAAGCGUGGGGAGCAAACAGGAUUAGAUACCCUUGUAGUC
rnacentral:rRNA from 1 species